CUGCCCUCAAGCACGGCUUGUGUGUUGGGCCCCCGUCCCCCUCCCAGGAAGGGGACGGGCCCGAAAGGCAGCGGCGGCACCGUGUCCGGUCCUCGAGCGUAUGGGAAGCAACUUUUUGUCACCCGCUCCUGUAGGUCCGGCCGGCGGCCUGCCCAACCCCAACCGUUUUUUAACCA
rnacentral:misc_RNA from 1 species